rnacentral:rRNA from 1 species
UACGAAGGGGGGCUAGCGUUGCUCGGAAUCACUGGGCGUAAAGGGUGCGUAGGCGGGUCUUUAAGUCAGGGGUGAAAUCCUGGAGCUCAACUCCAGAACUGCCUUUGAUACUGAAGAUCUUGAGUUCGGGAGAGGUGAGUGGAACUGCGAGUGUAGAGGUGAAAUUCGUAGAUAUUCGCAAGAACACCAGUGGCGAAGGCGGACUCACUGGCCCCGAUACUGACGCUGAGGCACG